rnacentral:lncRNA from 1 species
AUGUUAAGUUGCUGCAUUUUUGUCAGGGUUUGGUCAGAGAGCUGGGAUUGAUCUGAACUUUGGGGGAUUACGUCUAAACACAAAUGUUCCCAAAUUCUGUCUUACAGAAACAGCUGGGAUGUUUGGGAAACAAAGACUGGAGCACAAACUUGAGAGACUUUUAGAAGAAUAAAUGAAAAAAACCCAACAACUCAACAAACGAGCAUGAAGAAUUGGGAGCGGGGGGAGGCGUUCUUCCAGAGGGACCUUUGCCUUGGUGAGGAUCUUCUUUGCAGCAUUUCCUGCAGGAAGUGUCAAAAAGGCUUGUGAGAUGGGAAGAAGCAGCAAAACUCAGCGGGGUAAUAGAGCAGCAGAAAAUAUGGCAUGAGUUAAAUGGUGCAGCUUGAAGCAGAAGGAAAUUUUACCAAACUGGACUUCACUAUCUCCGGCUAAUUGCUGGAAUCGCAUACACUUACAAAAUGGGCAUGCUCGUCGACACAGAAAGAAACAGAGGGACAAACUACCUGCUGUAGCCCAGCAAAACCUGUAUGAACUGAAUGAUGGUUUAAUAGGGUGUUUCCAAGGAAAGAAAACAUCCAGAAAGUUGGUUCAUUUAUCAGAGUUCUUCUUAUGACAGAAUCAAGAGUGAGAGGACACCCAAUCUAAAAUGCACUUCUUGACAAGUCUGCUAAACAGCCUUGUAUCAAUGAGGCCACUUGCAGAAGAUUUUGUCCCCACAUUUAUUCCGACUUUGGGGAAGAAAUAAACAGCCAUGAAAAAAUGCA